rnacentral:lncRNA from 10 species
ACUGGCUCAAGCCGGUAGCCAGAGAUAGGAAUUUACAGGCAUCUCUUUGUCAUGCAGACUGGGCUCCCCACUUUCCCACUGUUUCUUUUAAAUGGACUAUUCAGGCAAUUGCCUGUGAGCUUAGAGUGACAUACACCCUAUUCCCUUAAAUGUACUACUGGUAGUCAUGUGCUCACUAUCUCUGCCUUACUCUUGAUUCCUGCCUCCAGUGAACCCAGGAUGAAGGAGUGUUUCGACUCAUCUGACUCAUUAUGCCUUCUUUGCCCUGGAUCUUACACAGAAAUGCUCUCCAUACCUUGCCACUGCUGCUGGGAAGGAACAGGGGAGGAGUGACAUUGAGAUUCAAGACUAUUUUUCCUACCUCUUCAGUGCCUCUUUCAGCCAUAUGAAGUUAAAACCAGGGGAGAAGAGGAGAGUAAAAGUGAAGAAGAAAGAGGCAAAACAAGUGACUAGACCACACGCUGAACAAGUUGUAGCUCUCAUUUACUUUUCAGAGAAUGUAAAAUGUUACAACUGCUUUGGAUAACAGUUUGGCAAUUUCUUUAAAAGUUAAGCAUAUAUAUAUAUAUAUAUAUAUAUAUAUAAUCAUAUAAUCUAGCCAUUUCACACAUCAGAAUUUACCCUCAUCCCCAAAUAAAAGCACAAAGAUGUGAAUGCCCAUAGCAGCUGCAUGUGUAAUAACUCAAAACUAUAAAAAACUCAAACACUCAUCAACAGUGAAUAAUUAAACAAAUUGUUUACAUUGCAAAAACAUUAUCAGUUGAAAGGAAUGAGCUACUGGUAGCAGCAACAAGGUACACAAAUCUAGAAAUAAUUAUGCUGAGGAAGAGAAGCCAGAAAAAUAUAAUAUAUAUUAUAUUAUCUCAUAUAUAUUAAAGAAUAGAGAAUGCAAACUAAUCUAUAGUGACAGAAAACAAAUCAGUGGCAAUCUGGGAAUGAGGGUAAGGGGUAAGAGGAAGGGAUUAAAAUGGGGCAUGAGUAAAAUUUUGGAAGUGAUAAGUAUAUUUAUUAUCUUGACUGGUUAUGGUUUUACAGAUACAUACUUAACGGUGAAAACUGGCAGAUUGUACAUUUUAAUAUGCAUAGUUUAUGAAAUGUCAAUUAUAUCUCAAUAAAUAUUAAGAUUAUAUAAGAAUAAUCUAGAGAAAUAAAACAUUUUUAAAAAAAUUAUAGUAAGAGUUGUUCUCUAACCAUUGUAGUUAAUCAGUUUUACUAAAGAAUAACCACAUAUAAAACCUUGUUCCCUUAUUUACAGAAAGUUUCUCCCGUACAGUUUGUACACUGUCUAUUCAUGUGAGCUAAUGCUUUAAAAAUUAACAUAUUAAUUUUCCUAUAUUAUAUGAACCUAGUGUUUUAUCCCAAUAAAUUAAUCAUCACAUUUUCUUUAUAGGUGUUUUUUUGUGGAAAAAAUUUAAUCAACCCAUAUCAUUUUUGUGUGCGAUCUUUCCUUAGUGAACAUUAAAUCUAAUCAUUUGUUAUUUGCAUUUGAAGUAAUUAUUUUAACAUGGGCUCUUUCCUAAGCACUUUGAAAAUUAGUCCUCUAAAGCCUUUUGUUGUAUAUAACUUUCUCUCUUGUGUUUUGUAUAAUUAUUAUUAUAUAGUAGUAUAAUUUAAAGGGGAAAUGUGCAAUAAACCCAUAUGCUUUAUUAUUAAAAGUAGGUACUGUAAGUUUUACUCCUAUGCCAAUUGGAUGGAAGAUCAAGAGUUGUGAUGAUCGGGAGGCUGAGGCAGGAGAAUGGCAUGAACCAGGGGGGCAGAGCUUGCGGUGAGCCGAGAUCGCACCACUGCACUCCAGCCUGGGUGACAGAGCGAGACUGUGUCUCAAAAAAUUAAAAAAUAAUAAUAAAAUAAAAUAAUAAAAAAAGAGUUGUGAUGAUCAUUUUCAGUUUUUAGUUUAACUGAAGAUAACAGAAACAGUCCAGAAUGGUCAAACUUUGACAUUUAUUAAAACAUUUAGAGACACUAAAACAUACAAACAAUUUUUGGUGGUUAAGACCAUGUGCUCUGGAAUAAGAAAUUGGUAUUUAAAUUCUUUCUAUUUACUGUUACAUUUAAGGCUUUGUUUAAAUGUUUAUGUGUAAAAAGAUCAAAAGCACUUUCAUAUAUUUCUUUAAAUAAUGUAUGCCAUUCAAUUUUUGCCGAAAGAGAUAAUAAAUCAGAGCAGACAAUGAAGA